UUGCUUUUUACAGAUCCCAACUAACAUGGCUACCCUCUGAUACUAUGUCUACACUUAAAACUUGACAGUUUGACAGCUGCAGUGUUGCAACUGUGCUGCUGUAGCACUUCAGUAUAGACACUACAGCAACGAGAGGGGGUUCUCCUGUCACUGUAGGAGACAGUCCCUGAGAGCUGGUAGCUAGGUCGACAGAAGAAUUCCUCUGUCAACCUAGCACUGCCUACAUGGGAACUCAGGUCAGCUUAACUAUGUGUGGAUUUUUCACACGUCUGAGUGACGUAGCUGGGUCAAUCUAGUUUGCUAGUGUAGACCAGACCUUAGUCUCACUCUCUAGCUGUUAUAGUUAUGAAAAAAACUUUCAAAACCUGAGGUGUAACUGAUGCAGUGAUGUCUGCCAAAGGGCUUGUCCAGACUGGGAACUUACAUUGGUGUACUAUGUCUCUCGGCGUGUGAAAAAUCCAACCUCCUGAGAGAUGUGGCUAUCCCAGGUGUAGACAGCUCUAGGUCAACAGAAGAAUUCUUCCGUUGAUAUAGCUACCACCUCUCAGGGAGGUGAUUACCUAUACUGAGGGGACAGCUCCUCCUGACGACAGGUAGUCUGUAUGCUGAAGUGGUACAGCAGUGCAGCUGCAGCUGUGUGGCUGUAGUGGUUUAAGUGUAGACAUACCAAGGUAAGCAGGAUUCCUGAAAUGAUAGUUCUGAAGUGUGCUAACAUUUGUCAGCAGACAAAUUCCUUACUGGUCCCUGCAUCAGCUUGAGUAGCUGCUCUUCAUCUCCACAUCCUAGGGUCCUGGCCCUUGUAGGAAAGACAUCAGAGACUAUGCAACCUCACAAACAGAUGAGGUGUUGCCAAUCUUCUGUUGGGUCAGCAGAUACAUGGAGAUAGGGGAAUUCACCCAAAUAGAGGGAGAGAGACUGGGCCCCACGUACAUUUGCAUAGGGCCUCACUGCAUGCCAGGAUGCUGUGUUAAGUCUGAACCUGGCUUAGGUCUUGAUCCAAGCCAGUUUGCCCUGCCUUUUUGUCUUGCCUCCUUUUCUAAAAGCAAAACAAUGAUGUGACAGACAAAACACAGGACAUGCACAUUUUAUACUGACAAUCCCUUUAAUAAACUAAUAUAAACUAGAGACAACCCAGACAUUGUUUCCCUGCUUUAUCAUGAAAAUUAAUGUGCAAAGGAAUCUGAAAGGACAAUGUAAGGGCAUUUAAGGACAAGCCACUUUCCUUUCCUGUCUGCGUCUGCCCUCUGUUGGUAGGAAAUGCACAUUAAUCUCUGUCCAUUAGAAUUGUGGAAUGAGUUUCACAAAAUACCGAUGGGGACAGAGGGAAGAUUAUCACUAGAAAUCCCAUUUCAUAUGGAAACAAUAAGCUCCAGCAGCAAAGGACAGGUACAAGCUAGAAAUAGAUUGUUAGAGAACAGCUUGUAAGAGGCCUUUACAUGGCCAUGCAGGGGCAGAAAGGCAAUCAAGAAGCCUCCGAUGGCCCGCUGGCUCCUAGUCUUUGCAUUCCUUCUUCCAGAAUCAAUGCACUAGAGAGACUAAUCUGCUCCUAAUGGAUGGAACAAAUUAUGCAUAUCUCCCUCACAUUAGCACAGAGCAGCCCCAGAAAGAUUGUGGUUCAGGAAGGCACAAUCUCUCCAGUGCUCUUGCUGGGAUGGUGGGCUCUGCAUUCCUCCACCAUCUCCACAGGGAUGUGGUAUAAAUGCCAUAAACUAGCCCCUAGUGAUUCACUGGAUUGAUAAGAGUUUUAAAAAAACAAACCAUAUAUGCUCCAUUUUGGCACACCUUUUUCAUCAAUAUCUUUUUUUCUUUAUUAAUUUUUCAAGGAAUAUGCAAAAACAAAUGAUCACGAUCUGAGGAGAAAGACAUUUGAAUAAAUACUACCGUUGUUACUACUGACAUCAGGAGGGCAAGCGAAUGUAAACAUACAAGUCCAUUCCAUACCAAAAGUCAGAGCCCAGCUAAGGGAAAGCAAGAUUCAGCAUCAAAGUAAGGAUGAGCUCUCACCACAAUGCAUUGCAUAACUGUGACCCUGUAGCAGCUUCUGAGCUCCACAAGAUAUGAAAACUGUAACUAGCCAAGCAGAGUUCACCAGACCUAAGGAAAUCAUUGGUUAGGGUUUGUCCACACAUGGAAUUAUUCCAGACCAGAUUAGCUCUUCCCAUCCAUGUCUGAAUUCUUAUUCUGAAAUAAAAAUUAAUCCAGAAUAGUUCAUCUGGAAUAAUUAAUCUCAUACUUUAUUUUAUUCCAGAAUAGCUCUCCUGUGUAGACAAGCCCUUAUAAAAUAUAUUAGGUAAAUAAUGGACCAUAUAUAUCCUAAAUGGCUUAAAGCCUCAUGUGAAGCCACCAGUUUCAAACAGGCCUUACCCAACCUAUAGCAAUGUAAAUAAGUAAGGCCUGGCACUAUAAGGGUUAACUGGAGAUGAAGAACUCAGUUAAGGCAUGGGGUGGGGGGGCGGGUGGCCCAGGCAAAAAUGUAGAUGAAGCCCAGCUGGAGGAGGAGCUGGGUGGUGAGGAAGCCCAGAUGAGAAGGGAGUACUAGGAGAAAGAACUCUGUAGUCUAGCUGCUAGAAAAUGCUGGAAAGGCCUAGAGAGUGAGACAGAUAUACAGUAAGCCCAGAGAGGGGCUGUGGAAAAGGACCUGAAGAAAGGCCAUGGUAAGAAGAAAUCCAGAGAAGCAGUGAGCAGGCUGAGGUAGGAGACAUUAGGUGCUCAUCACAGGGUCCCUAUACUGGAGCCCAGAAGAGAAGGAGGGACUGAGCUCCCCUACUAGCUGCUGGGAAAGGUGAUGUGGAAACACCCUGACAUGAUGGGGAGAAGGACUACUGAGUUUGGAACUGGGCAUCCAGGGAGAAAGACAACCCUGCAGAGCCUCAGAAGGGGUGAAGAGUCUGCAGACGAUCCAGCCUAGGAAGGAGUGAAGAGGAGGUGUUUGAUGCAGGAAAACGAAAUUCAUGGUGCCAGAGCCUGACAACAUCUAGUGAAUCGGAGAAAGCUCCUCGAAGAGAAAGUGUAGUGGAGCCAAACAAUUUUGACCAUGUUCCUGAACUGUGCUACACCGCUGCCGAAGACCACGAGCUAAAUCAUCAGCCCCUUAAGCAAUGGUAAAAAUCUCACUUUUGAGGCACGGCAAGACCAAACCAUAGCUUAUCUGUGUUGAAGCACCACUGUUUAUUAUUUGUUUAUGAUAGCAUCUAGUAUGUGGUAGGAAUCUUCCAGUCAGACCUUUGCAAUGUUUGCUCAGUGUUCCUCAUUCGGGUUGAUACAGGUGUGUUUCACAGAUUGCGGAGCACUCCACUGAUGAGUUCUUCACUUGGUUUGCUUAGGACCAGGUUGAGUGAGUAGAGUGAUGAAUAGAUAGUUUGGACCCUGCAAGAGCUAUCCAUAGCCUUAAUGCUUGGCUUGUAGCUCAAGAAUCUCAGCUUGAAAAUCGCUCCUCUAAACUCUCAUUUAACAGUUAAGAACUGUGGCCUGAUCUAAAAGCCUGAAAGGACGGUUUUUUUCAAACCAUGAAUUCUCAUGAGACUAGUCACCCUGCUGCCACUGCCUCCUCCAAAAACUUUGCCCAACAGUUGAUUUGGAAACAGUGGCUAAAAUGUUCAAAUUUUAAAUAACAAGUGACGUCAGGUGCCUAACUUUAGGCACUCAUUUAUUUUUUAAAAAAGAGCCUGAAAUUGCAAUAUCAUCUGUAACCAAAAACUCUGGCUCCUUUAAAAUACCAAAGAGGGUAAAAUACAUGAGUCAGGAUCAAUAUAAGUAAACCCGAGUCAAGAGAAAUGCACUGCUAGUAGAAGGUAUUGCAUCUAAACUCUGAUGUAGUGAAUUACCUUUAAAGUCGUCGUUAAACUAUUGAUGUUUCUCUGGCCAAAGGAAAGGAAAAUGACUAGGGUGUUAACCUGUGAAUACAUCUGAAUAUUUUAAAACUAUUUAUGGCAGAUGCACAAUAUUGUUAUUCUGUUUAGACCCGAGUGGUUAGCCAAAAUUGUGAGUCCUGUGGGUUGUUUCAAUGAGGAGGGGAAACUGAUGAUGGAGCUGAGUUCUUUGAUGCAAUCCUAUUUGUUUUUAAAGGAUUACAAAGUCCUGCUCAACAUAGGGCGAAAUCAAGCAACAGGGGAGUUUCUUUGCCUACUGUUCCAAGCCUCUUUCAGCCAGCGCUCAGUCUGAAUAGCUCUCAAGGCCUUUUCUCAGGGCCAUGCUCUCAGUACUUGCUCAGCUGUCUCCUUAGCUUUCUGCUCCUCUUCUGUGAUGAUGGUUCUUGCUGCUUCACUCUCACUGACACACCGCUGUGAUCCAAUCAAUACCCUUCCCUUGAGUUUAUCGAAUCACAGUGGAACCCCUCCUUGGGCUGCCUGGCUAAAUCCUACUCCAGCUUUGCAUGUUGCUUUGUUUUCAGUAGAUUCCCUAAUUUUCAGCUAUCUAUGCCAUGAUGGAGCUCAAUUGCUUUUUACAUUUAUACUGAAUGAAAGGUGGCUAUUUCACCCACCGGUUUCAAAGACAUCUUACCCACCCCAUAACAGUAUAAAGAAAUAGAGCCUGACCUGAAGUUCAAAUAGGGCUCUGGAAUCAGGCCCAUAGUGAAGUAGACAUAUAUGUUCCCAAAACAAGUGAAAAGAAAGUGCAGAAAGCAGGCAACUUAAUAACACAUGUCCUAAAACACUGCUUGAGGACAGGAAUCAAACAUACAGGUUUAAAUAUUGAAAAAUUAAGAACAAUUUUAUAAUAAAGGAAAAGUAUGGCAUCUGCUAAAUGAAAGCUCAUGUGACAGCCCCUGCGUGCAGCCUGCAUGCUAACAUGUUGCACAAGGUUGUCUUUUCUGGCUCUUGCAGCCUCUUUGGUGUCUUUAAAUUAUUUAUCUUGUUAAGUCAGGAAGUACUGAGUAGUGAUUGCCUGCUACCUACGGCUAGAGAUAAUUAUCAUGUCCUUCAGAGUGGCCUACAGUUGCCUGGGUGACCAGAUGUCCUGAUUUUAUAGAGACAGUCUGGAUUUUUGUGUCUUUUUCUUAUAUAGUCUCCUAUUACCCCCCAUCCUCUGUCCCGAUUUUUCACACUUGCUGUCUGGUCACCCUACCUGGGAACUGUCAUGAUGGGAUCUUUUUUAAGUUUAUCUAACCAGUUCAUUAUUUACUCUACAUUUACAAGGGGUUUUUUUGUGUGUGCUUCUGCUAUGCCAGUAUAGUUGAAGUUUGGUCAAUCUUGUCUGGUUAUUCAGACUCAUUCAGCGGCUCUCAUUUGAUGCUCCAGUGGGAAACUGCAGCUCUCAUGUCUCAUGGUGAACCUGCUCAGUUACAGAAUUCUAUAUUUUUAACCCUCAUAAAGAAAGCCACUUAGUUUUUGUGGCUUUGUAACAUAGCAAGCCAGUCUGUAAAUGCUAUCCUUGCUCAUCAAUGUCUUUUGACACCUUGUAAACAUACUUGCAUAAGUGAUGUUCUACAGCAGUGAAUUCCACAGGUUCCUGCUUAUGUACUCUUCAUUUACCAGCUCUGGGGACUGUUUCCCAUCUAAGCAUUGAUGUUCUGAGAGACAGAGUUGGAACUUCUUUAUUUUCCCUUUCUUUCCCAUGUAUGGUGGUGCUGAAUCACCCCAGAAGGCUUAAUGAGCUAACUCCACUGCAGAAGCAAAGCCUUCGGGAGUGCAUUAAUGCUGCUGCUGGAUAAGUAGGGGGUGGAAAAUAAAUAUAUAGUAUUGGAAGCUGAAGGAUGGCAGGAGCUAGUGAACAUAGUUAAAUAGCAGGAAAAUAACAUAUUGCAUAUCAUAAAGGACACCCUCCUCUACUAGUUAGUGCAGUACAGAGUAGUAUGUUGAUUCUGAGGAUGAUUUGAAACACAGUAUUACCAAGUCCCUUAUGAGCUUGGCAUCUUUUACCGGUUAUGUGGCAGUAUUUUUCCAGGCAUUCAUGUGGAAAAAAUAGGCCAGUGACACAAGAGUACUCUGUUUCCCAAGGGAAACUGUGGCCUGCUGCUGCUUGUUACUGAGAUGUUAGCCUCUUUCUGUUUUUUCUUAACUUAGCUGAAAUCUUUCAUCGAUACUAUUAGUGCUGUCAGUCAGACAUCUUCUACUGAUUAUAAUAAAUACUAUGUGGACAACAGCAACACAUGCAAAAUAUAAAGGGGACCAAGAUAACAAAAAACACAGGCAGAAUAAUAAAGUGGAAAGUCCAUGCUAAUCCAUAAAGAGAGAAAAUAACCUACCGUUAUAUCUGAAACCCAGAUAUUCAAAGAGAGGAGACAGUUGGGAAGCAGUAAUACUGAGACGUUUGGAGUGAUGGUACACAGGUGAGAAAUGAAUUUGCCAUGCAAUAAGUAUUUACAGGGAUAUUUUCUCUGUUCAGGGUUUUAAAUUGUUCUAUAAGAAAGUGCAAUUUCACCCUGGACAAUGACCCAUGUAAAAACAGGCCCUUCUAUUCUGCUGUUCUGCUCAAAAUCAUCUCUGUUUGCCUCCUAGACAAGAGCAAGUUUUAGUUAUGCAAGGAUGACAGAAGCAGACACACAGCUUUGGGGGAGAGAACUGGAUUCUCUUUUGGCUUGAUCAUAUCAAGAUUAACUUAAAUCUUGUCUACAUGGGGGAAAUGGACCAGCAUAGCUAUUCCAGAAUAACUAUUUUGGUAUAAUUUAAGUAUUCUGGAAAAACUCUCCUGCAUGCACACUCUAUUCUGGAAUUAAAAUGAUUUUUUCUGGAAUAAUUACUUUGCUUCCGAAGUCACUUUUAUUUCAGAGCAGUGUGUUCAUACAGGAAAGCUAUUCUGCAAUAGCUAUGCUAGUUAAUUUCCCCACAUAGAGAAGACAUAAGAUCCAAUUGCAAGACCACCUUUGCAACCCUAUUGUCUUCAAAUUAUUCCCUCAUUUACACCAGAGGCAUUUCUGUGAGGGCAAUAAGGUUGCAUAGACAAUGACCAUGGGUUUAUUGGCAGUAGCACCUAGAUAUUAUGGAGAUGGACAGCCUAAGAAUAUGAGGUUUGGUUUACACACAAUUAUUUUAGUAAUAUACCUGUUGCAGUUAGGGGUGUGAUUUUUUUUCUACUGAAAUAGCUAAAUUGGUUUGGUACAGCCUCUAAGCUGGAUGCAGCUGUACUGGUAAAAAGGUGCCUUAUAGUUUACUCCUCUUCCCAAACAUGAAUAGCUAUAUAGGUAAAGACAUCUCUUAUUCUAUAUAGUUGUCUAUCUACAGUAGUGAGAUUGUACUGCCUAAACAAUACCAGUAUAACUAAAGCAGUACAAUUCUUGUGUGUACACAGCAAGUCCUAUGAGAAUCAAACCUUCACAGCCCCAUUGGGGAAGCCCCCCUACAGUUGCUAGGAGAGGUUCUCUCUUUCCCAUUGCCAGUCCAGUCAACUUCAGGAAGGCUUCAGCUUUGUGCUCAAAUCUGGGAAAGGCUUCUCAGUCCUACAGUGGGUAUCGGAGAGGCUAAAAUUAUUUCCAAAUCCACCCCCUACAAAGGAUGCCCUUUCAGAAAUAAACCUAGAUACCUUGCUAGUCUUAGAGAAGAAGAUAAGACAAAACCUUAGAGUGAGCACCAACAGAAAACUCCAGGACUGGUCAAGCUGUGUGUUUUCAGUUCCCAAGUCCACUGGGGUACACUGUCCAAUUCUAAACCGAAAGCCCUUAAACCUCUUUAUGGCUGCCCAGCUGUUUUGCAGUGAAAGGCUCAAAGCCAUGAUUUACAAUGGGGGGUUUCCAGCAAAAACUAGAUCUGAGCAAAGUCUUUGGUAGCUUGGAUACAUGGCUAUGCUAUGGGAGAUUCUUAAGGAGAUAUAUGAGCUACAGGGGAUUUUCUGGAAAGCAAUACUGUACAGUAGGAGGGGUUGGGAAUUGAGCCUGUUCAUUGCUCCACGUUUUUUCACCUCAUUUAUGAGAUCCAUUCUUCAUCUCCUAAAAAUUUGGGAGUGAAAAUGAUAAUUUAUUUAACUGUCUUGAUUUCAGCAUAACCAGAAGAGCUCCUAAAGUAGUUUAUUGUGUUCACACUCCAUCCAGAAGGGUGAUCGGCUUUCUAGUAAAUCUAGAAAAAUCUAUAUUAAAACUGUAACACGGGCAGCCGCCUUUUGAGCACCCCUCAUGGCCACAGGUCAUUCUGCAGUACCCUCCCUCUGUUUCUCCCUUUGCAGGGCCCUUAAAGAACUCAUCCAGUUCAAAGAGUCCCCUACUGGGGUCCAAUUCAUUGAGUCCUCAGGUGCAUAUUGACCCUCAAGUCCCCAACCCCAGUCCAGUUCUCGCUCCUGAUAAUCCAAGAGUCUUUCAAAAAUAGGGUUACCAUAUUUCAACACUGAAAAAAGAGGACACUCCAUGGGGGCCCUGGCCCUGCCCCAACUCCGCCCCUUCCCCGCUCCCAUUCCAACUCCUUCCCCACCCCCAU